CAGCCGUAAACUAUGCGCGUUAGGUGUAUCGGUGACCACGAGUUACCGAGGUGCCGAAGGGAAACCGUGAAACGUGCCGCCUGGGAAGUACGGUCGCAAGGCUGAAACUUAAAGGAAUUGGCGGGGGGAGCACCACAACAGGUGGAGCCUGCGGUUUAAUUGGACUCAACGCCGGGAAGCUCACCGGAUAGGACAGCAGAAUGAUUGCCGGGCUGAAGACUCUGCAUGACUAGCUGAGAGGAGGUGCAUGGCGUAGACGUCU
rnacentral:rRNA from 1 species